AGAGUUUGAUUAUGGCUCAGGAUGAACGCUAGCGGCAGGCUUAACACAUGCAAGUCGAGGGGUAACAGGGACUGCUUGCAGUCCGCUGACGACCGGCGCACGGGUGAGUAACACGUAUGCAACUUACCUCUAACUGGAGAAUAGCCCCGAGAAAUCGGGAUUAAUACUCCAUAGUAAGCUUUUAUCGCAUGAUAGAAGUUUUAAAGUUUCGGCGGUUAGAGAUGGGCAUGCGACCCAUUAGUUAGUUGGUGAGGUAACGGCUCACCAAGGCUACGAUGGGUAGGGGGCCUGAGAGGGUGAUCCCCCACACUGGUACUGAGACACGGACCAGACUCCUACGGGAGGCAGCAGUGAGGAAUAUUGGACAAUGGGCGAAAGCCUGAUCCAGCCAUGCCGCGUGCAGGAAGACGGCCCUCUGGGUUGUAAACUGCUUUUAUACGGGAAGAAACCCUCCGACGUGUCGGAGGCUGACGGUACCGUACGAAUAAGCACCGGCUAACUCCGUGCCAGCAGCCGCGGUAAUACGGAGGGUGCAAGCGUUAUCCGGAUUUAUUGGGUUUAAAGGGUCCGUAGGCGGAAGAUUAAGUCAGUGGUGAAAUCCUGCAGCUCAACUGUAGAAUUGCCAUUGAAACUGGUUUUCUUGAAUAUGUACGAAGUGGGCGGAAUAUGACAUGUAGCGGUGAAAUGCUUAGAUAUGUCAUAGAACACCGAUUGCGAAGGCAGCUCACUAGUCCAUUAUUGACGCUGAGGGACGAAAGCGUGGGGAGCGAACAGGAUUAGAUACCCUGGUAGUCCACGCUGUAAACGAUGAUCACUCGUCAUUGGCGAUAUACUGUCAGUGACCAAGCGAAAGUGUUUAGUGAUCCACCUGGGGAGUACGAUCGCAAGAUUGAAACUCAAAGGAAUUGACGGGGGCCCGCACAAGCGGUGGAGCAUGUGGUUUAAUUCGAUGAUACGCGAGGAACCUUACCAGGGCUUGAACGCAAAUUGACAGGCUGGGAAACCAGCCCUCCUUCGGGCAAUUUGCGAGGUGCUGCAUGGUUGUCGUCAGCUCGUGCCGUGAGGUGUCAGGUUAAGUCCUAUAACGAGCGCAACCCCUAUUCUUAGUUGCCAGCGGAUAAUGCCGGGGACUCUAGGAAAACUGCCAGCGCAAGCUGUGAGGAAGGUGGGGAUGACGUCAAAUCAUCACGGCCCUUACGUCCUGGGCUACACACGUGCUACAAUGGCGAGUACAAAGGGCAGCUACCUGGUGACAGGAUGCUAAUCUCUAAAGCUCGCCUCAGUUCGGAUUGGAGUCUGCAACUCGACUCUAUGAAGCUGGAAUCGCUAGUAAUCGCGCAUCAGCCAUGGCGCGGUGAAUACGUUCCCGGGCCUUGUACACACCGCCCGUCAAGCCAUGGAAGCUGGGGGUGCCUAAAGUCGGUCACCGCAAGGAGCCGCCUAGGGCAAAACUAGUAACUGGGGCUAAGUCGUAACAAGGUAACCGU
rnacentral:rRNA from 1 species